CAUUUACAGUUCGUGUUGUGUAAGUUACUCCGAUGCAUACAUAAGUCACCAUGUCUAGUGAUAGUGUGUUGUUAUCGUCCGUCAGUGGACAGCAGGUACGAGAAGGAUGAAUUCAGCUAAAAUCAAGCUAUUGCGCUGUGAGUCCCGAGUGUUUACGUCUUUCUUCUCUGUGAUCUGAGAGGACAGCGUCUCCAGGAUGGCAGACAGAUUUUAAGAGCAGACGGGCGAUAAUCUCACAACAUUCUACAUUAGUUUCUCCUGGUCACCCUCACAUAUCCAUUCCCCUCCCUCCGUCCCGUCUCUUUGAGAAUGGAUGGUCAGCAGUCUCUACAGGCCAGCGUGAACUCCUCUUACAUUCCCACCACCAUCUCCUCCAUGUGUGACGAAGAGCUUUCAGAGGGUGAGGCGGUGGGGGGCGACACUUCCCCUUUGCU